rnacentral:tRNA from 1 species
GGCCCCAUGGUCCAACGGCUACGAUGCCCGAUUGUCUAUCGGGAGAUCGGGGUUCAACUCCCCGUGGGGUCGCCA